AUUAUUAAUUUCUAAUAUGGCAGAAUUAUAUGUAUUGAACUUAAAAUUCAUUUAUAAAGAAUUAUCUUUUUUUAGAAA
rnacentral:tRNA from 2 species